UACGUAGGGCGCAAGCGUUAUCCGGAUUUAUUGGGCGUAAAGAGCUCGUAGGCGGUUCGGUAAGUCGGGUGUGAAAACUCUGGGCUCAACCCAGAGAGGCCACCCGAUACUGCUGUGACUAGAGUGCGGUAGGGGAGCGGGGAAUUCCUGGUGUAGCGGUGAAAUGCGCAGAUAUCAGGAGGAACACCAGCGGCGAAGGCGCCGCUCUGGGCCGUAACUGACGCUGAGGAGCGAAAGCAUGGGUAGCAAACAGG
rnacentral:rRNA from 1 species